rnacentral:rRNA from 1 species
AGUUAGGAAAUGCAGGUUGGUUAAUACCCAACCUGUUUGACAAAGGCCCCAAAGGAAGCCACGGCUAACUCUGCGCCAGCAGCCGCGGUAAUACAGAGGUGGCAAGCGUUGUUCGGUACUAUUGGGCGUAAAGAGCACGUAGGUGGUUUUGUAAGUCAGAUGUGAAAGCCUUCUGUUCAAAGGAAGAACGGCAUCUGAAACUGCAGAUCUUGAGUGUAGGAGGGGAGAGUGGAACUUCUGGU